rnacentral:rRNA from 1 species
UACAGGGGGGUGCAAACGUUGCUCGGAAUCAUUGGGCGUAAAGCGCACGUAGGCGGUCUGUUAUGUCGGAUGUGAAAGCCCUCGGCUCAACUGAGGAAGUGCAUCCGAAACUGGCAGGCUAGAGUACUAAAGAGGGUCGCGGAAUUCCCGGUGUAGAGGUGAAAUUCGUAGAUAUCGGGAGGAACACCCGGUGGCGAAGGCGGCGACCUGGGUAGAUACUGACGCUGAGGUGCGAAAGCGUGGGGAGCAAACAGG